rnacentral:misc_RNA from 1 species
GUGAAUCAUCGAAUUUUUGAACGCAAAUUGCACUCUCUGGUAUUCCGGUGAGUAUGCCUGUUUGAGGGUAUGUUUAAAUAAAAAUCGGUGUGGUUGCUGCCUUUCGUGGUGCCGCACUGGAUUUGGGUCGUCUUGUCUUCGGUUAAGUGACUUAAAAUUUUGCAUGUUUUUUUCGAACGUAUUUAAAUGAUUUUAUGUACGUUUGUGUUAUCGAAUACUAGGUGUGGUGAUCCUA